GACGAACGCUGGCGGCGUGCUUAACACAUGCAAGUCGAACGAUGAUGCCCAGCUUGCUGGGUGGAUUAGUGGCGAACGGGUGAGUAACACGUGAGUAACCUGCCCCUGACUCUGGGAUAAGCGUUGAAAACGACGUCUAAUACUGGAUAUGACUGCCGGCCGCAUGGUCUGGUGGUGGAAAGAUUUUUUGGUUGGGGAUGGACUCGCGGCCUAUCAGCUUGUUGGUGAGGUAAUGGCUCACCAAGGCGACGACGGGUAGCCGGCCUGAGAGGGGGACCGGCCACACUGGGACUGAGACACGGCCCAGACGCCUACGGGAGGCAGCAGUGGGGAAUAUUGCACAAUGGGCGAAAGCCUGAUGCAGCAACGCCGCGUGAGGGAUGACGGCCUUCGGGUUGUAAACCUCUUCUAGUAGGGAAGAAGCGUAAGUGACGGUACCUGCAGAAAAAGCACCGGCUAACUACGUGCCAGCCGCCGCGGUAA
rnacentral:rRNA from 1 species